AUUGAACGCUGGCGGCAGGCCUACCACAUGCAAGUCGAACGAGUGGCGGACGGGUGAGUAAUGUCUGGGAAACUGCCCGAUGGAGGGGGCUAACUACUGGACACGGUAGCUAAUACCGCAUACCAUCGGAUGUGCCCAGAUGGGAUUAGCUAGUAGGUGGGGUAACGGCUCACCUAGGCGACGAUCCCUAGCUGGUCUGAGAGGAUGACCAGCCACACUGGAAAUGAGAAACGGUCCAAACGCCUACGGGAGGCAGCAGUGGGGAAUAUUGCAAAAUGGGCGCAAGCGUGAUGCAGCCAUGCCGCGUGUAUGAAGAAGGCCGUCGGGUUGUAAAGUAAUUUCAGCGAGGAGGCGUUACUCGCAGAAGAAGCACCGGCUAACUCCGUGCCAGCAGCCGCGGUAAGAC
rnacentral:rRNA from 1 species